UGAAAACUUUGACUUCCAGAAGUUUCUUCAAGAAGUAACAGGCAAAUUUAGUCUGCAGGCCGAACUUGUGACUGAAGGUGUGCUCAGCUUGACUGACACAUCAGAGACCGAGGUUGAUGCCGACACAUUUGAUGAGCUGGUCAAGUCGAGUGAGAAACUUCAAGGUUAGAUAUCACCAGUAUCCAAUAACAGACAUUGCUAUUACUUUGGAUGAAUCAGAUUAAUCUGUAUUACAAGACCCAUCACCAUCUCCAGCAUCAUUG